UGAUGAUGAUGAUAAAAUUUCUCCCUGACUUUGUUGUCGUGGAGGUAAAAUAAACUGAUUUAAUGAGUCUGA